rnacentral:rRNA from 1 species
CUACGGGGCGCAGCAGUGAGGAAUAUUGCACAAUGGGGGGAACCCUGAUGCAGCAACGCCGCGUGGAGGAUGAAGCAUUUCGGUGUGUAAACUCCUUUUAUAUGUCAAGAAAAUGACGGUAGCAUAUGAAUAAGCACCGGCUAACUCCGUGCCAGCAGCCGCGGUAAUACGGAGGGUGCAAGCGUUACUCGGAAUCACUGGGCGUAAAGGACGCGUAGGCGGGCUUGUAAGUCAGGUGUGAAAUCCUACAGCUUAACUGUAGAACUGCACUUGAAACUACGAGCCUAGAGUAUGGGAGGGGCAGAGGGAAUUAGUGGUGUAGGGGUAAAAUCCGUAGAUAUCACUAGGAACACCUAACGCGAAGGCGAUCGGCUGGAACAUAACGGACACUAAGGCGUGAAAGCGUGGGUAGCAAACAGGAUUAGAUACCCCAGUAGUC